CUGUUUUUAGAAUUGAUACAAUGGGAUGCUAGGUACCUAAAAGGGUCGGGCAGGUUUUCUCUUGAUGGGAUUAGUCGACUCAGCUGUGUUUUCUCUGGUUCAGACUUACUGAGGGGAUUAGUUGAUUUAGCUGCAAUUCAGAUGGGCUGUAUUUUAGAAAACAUCUACGGUGAUUGGUAGAUGGAAGAACUUAGGGGAGGUGACAUAGGAAAAACACCCUAUAUAAGAAAAGGAAUCUCUUGAGCAAGAGAGGCUUGGAGAUCCUUAGAUCCUUGGAGAUGGAUCCUUGGAUCCUUGGAGAUAGAUCCUUUUGGAGGAGGCCCUUUGAAGAUCUCUUGAGAAGACGUCCCUUGGGAGGCUGACUCUGGCUGGAACUCCCUCUGGGGAGACUCUGUUCCCCAGACAUCCUUGCUUAAGACAAAUCUUGUGGCUGGUCUACAUCAGGUAUAAAGUCAGGAAUAGAACUUCUGAAUCAAAGACUCAUCAAAGUAUUGACGUCGAGAGCUGGAAGUGACCUCAGAGAUCAUCUUAUCUCAUCUCAAUUUACAGGCACUGAAGACACACACACAAUUGGAACUUUCCCUACCAGCAUGGAAGGGAUACUUUCAGGCAGAUGGAGUUGGAGGUAUGGCCAUGAAAAAUUCCAUGGAAGCAUAGCCUAAAGGAGACACCAACCCUACCCAUAGGCAGCAUGGGGUGAUCACCCAUCAGUCAUCAAUAACGCACUACCUAUUAUUUUAUCCAAAGCCCUUCCUUCUAUAAUGUAUAAAAUUACAUGUAAGUGUUACUAGCUUUAAUGAUCACACUCUCUAGUGACUAUUAAUAAAAUGCAUAUUUUAUUGCA
rnacentral:lncRNA from 1 species